rnacentral:rRNA from 1 species
UACGAAGGGGGCUAGGCGUUGCUCGGAAUCACUGGGCGUAAAGGGGCGCGUAGGCGGGCUCUUAAGUCAGGGGUGAAAGCCCAAGGCUCAACCUUGGAAUUGCCUUUGAUACUGAGGGCCUUGAGACCGGAAGAGGUCGGCGGAACUGCGAGUGUAGAGGUGAAAUUCGUAGAUAUUCGCAAGAACACCAGUGGCGAAGGCGGCCUCUGGUCCGGU